UGGAGUCAUGAAAUUUUCCAACUUGAGUGAGACUUCAUGAUAGGUUUUCACUACAUUCACACUAAAACCUAAAAGCUAAGGAAGAUAAAAUUCUAUGAAAACAAAAUUCUUCUCUAUAUUCAUUAACGACAUUGGUACUCAAAUAGGAUUUGUAAAGAGCCGCUGGAUUUUAUCCUUGUAAGCAACAUUACAUUAAAACUGAAAGCAAUUAAAUUAAACAAUCCUAUAGGCCCAUUCAAAUUAAGAAGUCUUCCAUCCAUCUAGGUUUAUUAAUCUGACGUUUGGACUUGUUGUUGUUAGAUCAUGGUGUAACAUUACCGUUGGUUUAGGCACUUUGUUCUCAAAGUGAGUGUGAUGAACUUGUUGGGCUGAUUGGUUGGGCUUGGCUGUAAUUGGAAUUUGUUGAGGCUUCUUCUUCCUGCACCCCCACGUUUUUCUUCCUACACCCCACAAUUUUAAAAAUUCCAACAUUACCCUUGACCUAAAAUUUGAAAAGGGCACUGUUCUGCAUUUCCAUAAUCACUGAUCAUUUUUAUCCUUGGGUAUCAACUGCAAUGUCAAAUUUAAAUAAAGUUUACUACAAAACACUACAAAACCUAGUAUAAUUGUUUACCCAAACACUAAAUAAAGUUUAAAUAUAAUACCAAGCAAAACACUACAAAACCUUGACCCAGUAUAAUUGUUGUUUACUAAUUUGAGUAACACAAACACAAACAGCAACUCAUUAUUCCGGACACAUCAAUCCGCUACAAUACCGGAUCCAUAAAUUUGGAAGCUUACCGGAUCCAUAAAUUUGGAAGCUUACUGGAUCCCGAAAUCUGGAACAUUCCCAGAAUCAGAAGUUCAGGAUUUUACCGGAUUCAUAAGUUCAGAAUGUGAAAAAAUGAUUACAGAAACAUAAAUCCAUGGAAAAAAUGGAUAUGUAAAUCCGAAAAACAAAGAAAUUUACUUACCACUUUGUGAAGAGCACUCUAAAUCACCAAAAAAGAAUGUGUGAGAUUGAAAGAAGAAUGUUGUGGAGGUGCCGCUGCUAUGUUGUUGUGGGAGAGGAAGAAAAACGCUGCGCAAAUGAGAAAAUCAAUGCUGCCUUCAUU
rnacentral:lncRNA from 1 species